AGACCGAUAGCGAACAAGUAGAGUGAUCGAAAGAUGAAAAGUACUUUGGAAAGAGAGUUAAAAAGCACGUGAAAUUGUUGAAAGGGAAGCGCCUGCAACCAGACUUCGCGGCAGUGUUCCGCCGGUCUUCUGACCGGUUCAUUCUCUGUCGCGAGGCCAUCAUCGUCUGGGCCCGCCGGAUAAGACCUUGGGAAUGUAGCUCACCUUCGGGGGAGUGUUAUAGCCUAGGGUGAUGCGGCGAGGCUCGGGCGAGGUCCGCGCUUCGGCAAGGAUGAUGGCGUAAUGGUUGUCGGCGGCCCGUCUUGAAACACGGACCAAG
rnacentral:rRNA from 1 species